CCAGGCCCUGCCGUCUGGCAGGUGCUGGUGUUCAGGGGUUGAGUGGCAUUUCCUGUCUGGCCACCGACACUUCUUUGCAAGCCCUGAUCUUAUCAGUGGCCGACACACUCUGACCUGAUGCAGAACAGAGCCCCCUCUGGUUUGGGAAAGCAUCUUCCAGCCCUUGGGAUUCAGGCAAGACGGCGGGGGUGGGAGGCCUGGCUCGGCCAUCCUUGGCUGUGGGACCUUGUGCCAGUCACUUGACCUUAUGCCAGUCACUCUGGACUCAUUUCUUUUGCUAGCUCCAGGGCAACUGCCACAGGUUGGCAGGGCCUGGGGACAGGACAGCAACCCUGGCAGCCCCUGGCCGCUCAGCCGGCCCCUCUGGAGUCUGGCCCCUGCCCAUCCAUCACACUCUCUUGUACAGACGCCCUCUCUUCUGGGUACCUGCCUCCCUCCUGGGGUUUGAGAAGGUCGCAGGACAUGUUUUGCUCCUGGCCAAGCGACACUUACCCGUGCCCCACCAGCAGGCCAAGGUGGUGGAUUCAGGGUAGGCACAGGACCCAACCCAAGCCACUGGGCGUCCACUCCGGGCCUCUCUGCAACCAGUGGGAAGGGCGAGUCCCCGGAGAUGGGCCGCUGUUCAAUGCCGUCUCAACUCAGGGGAAACUGAGGCAAGACAGAGACCAAGUUCUGAUGAAUGUGAGUCCCUGGGUCCUGUCCAAUAUCAAGGCAGCCACCCCAUGGACAUCUGAGUUUUGUGAGCUGAUACAAUUCCUUUCGCUAUAAAUUUCUUUGGUUUUCUUUUUUUGGGGGUACUGGGGACUGAACCCAGGGACACUGCCCACUGAGCUCCAUGACCAGCCCUUUCUUUCUUGACACAAGGUCUUGCUCAAGUUCCCCAAGCUGGUCUCCUACUUGGGAUCCUCCUGCUUCAGCCUCCAGAGCAGCUGGGGGUCCAGGCGACCAUCACCAUGCACCUGUCACUGUGAGCCAUCAAACCCUAGCUUCCCUUCCGUUACUGGUCUCCUCAGACAUAGGCAUAAAAAAGCCCCGUGGUGACCAAAGUUCAGGAAAACGAAGGUAUGGGUCACUUUUUUUUUUUGUACCAGGGAGUGAACCCAGGGAUGCUCGGCCACGAGCCACACCCCCAGCCCUGUUUUGUAUUUUAUUUAGAGACAGCGUCUCACUGAGUUGCUUACCGCCUCCCUUUUGCUGAGGCUGGCUUUGAACUCAUGAUCCUCCCGCCUCAGCCUCCCGAGCCAACACACUUUUAAAAAUAAAUCCAUGUUGUAUGUGACUGCUCUCAUCUUACCGUUUUCCUGUCCCCGACAGGCCUUCUCUUCUGGCUAACUGCAGAAACUAGUCCAGAAUAGAUUUCUUUCUGUUUUGCUUUUGCAGUGCUAGGGAUGGAACCCAGGGCCUCACACACACCAGGCAAGC
rnacentral:lncRNA from 1 species